GUCUACGGCCAUACCACCUUUAAUGCGCCCCCGAUCUCGUCCGAUCUCGGAAGCUAAACAUGGUCCGGCCCAGUUAGUACUUGGAUGGGAGACCAACUAGGAACACUGGGUGCUGUAGGCA
rnacentral:rRNA from 1 species